rnacentral:lncRNA from 1 species
GCAGGACCCGCACCCGCCACGCAGACACGGACGAGCCGCCGCGGUCAAGAUGUUCACCCGCCGCGGUCAAGAUGUAUGUGCCACCGACCCUCGCCCCGCUGGACGGACGGACGGACGCGCGCACGCCGUCAGCGUCCACCGGUCACUGCCGCCGCCCACAGUGAUGUCACCCACGAAAGCACACACGUAGAAGCGGACGCCGUGGUCAAGAUGUCUCUGCCAUCCCCACAGGACGGACGGACGGACUCCACAAGGUAGGAAGCCUGCGCCGACCGCACCGCUGCACCCACCACAGCACACAGGACACACGCGGGCCCCGCGCCCGCCCAGGCACACGCGGCACACACGGCACACACGGCAGGCAGGCCAGGCACACGCAUCCGCAGGACCCGCCGCACCCGCCACGCAGACACGGACGAGCCGCCGCGGUCAAGAUGUUCACCCGCCGUGGUCAAGAUGUAUGUGCCACCGACCCUCGCCCCGCUGGACGGACGGACGGACGCACGCACGCCGUCAGGUGCGCGUGUCGCCGAGGCCGCCAGGACGGAGCGAUUCUCACGGAGGAAG